rnacentral:lncRNA from 10 species
GGGUUCCGCCGCGGGGCUGCGAGCGCGCGCGGGCCAGUUCGGGCCGGGGGCGGGAACCGGCUCGGAUGCUCAGGGACGGUGGGGGUGGCAGGGCCCACCGGCUUGAGGCUGCCUUUCCCGGCGUUCCCUCGUUUAUUGGCUCACUCUUCCUUUCAUCCAUCCAUCCUUUGCGCAACAAUAUUUGAUGGGAAGCCUGCCAAGGUAACACUGUUUUAGCACCUGGAACUAAGUCGGAAAAUAAAUUAACUAAAUGAACAAGGCCAUUGGAGAUGGUGCUCCGUGCCACGAAGAAAAUGAAACGAGGUGAUGGAAGGCAGUGCGGGAAGGGGGAGAACUGUGUGAAAUUAGGCGGCCUGCGCUAGGCCUUCUGAGUAAGGGGCCAUUGGUCUGAGACCUGGAUGUCAAGAAGGAGCAGCUGAAGCAAAGAUCCAGGGGAGAGAGCCUGGAGAGGGAAGGGCCCGUGCAAAAGCUGAAAAGCCUGGGGCACUCUGGCGAGUUGCAGGCCAGUGUGGGUGAGACAGAGAGAGCUAAGGAGACAGGCCAAGCGAGGAAGCUGGAGAGGUGGAGACAGGCCACGGCGGCCAGGAGUUUGGACAUGACAUUAAACAGGGCGAGAAGACAUUGCGGGGGUGCAAUCAGGGGCUGGUGGGACUGGUUUCCAUUUCACACAGCUCUCUGGCCACAGGUGCUUGAUUGGAUUCUAGAGAACAAGAGAGCAACGGAGAAGCUAGGCCAAUGCCAACCUCCAGACAGUUUACAUUCUGUACUCGCCCACCAGAUUGGUGUGGGGACAAAGCCAGGUCCUUCUUCUUUCCAGCAUUCAGUCUGCCAACUU